UACGAGGAGCCCGAGCGUUAUCCGGAUUUACUGGGCGUAAAGGGUGUGUAGGCGGUUUUGUUAGUCCUGCUUUAAAUCUCCGUGCUCAACAUGGAGGCCGGGUGGGAAACGGCAAAACUUGGAUGAUGCCAGAGGCAAGCGGAACUCACGGUGUAGGGGUGAAAUCCGUUGAUAUCGUGGGGAACACCAAAGGCGAAGGCAGCUUGCUGGGGCAUUCAUGACGCUGAAACACGAAAGCGUGGGGAUCAAA
rnacentral:rRNA from 1 species